GCCGGUGUAGCUCAGGGGUAGAGCGCAUCCUUGGUAAGGAUGAGGUCAUGAGUUCAAAUCCCAUCACCGGCU
rfam:Bacteroidales bacterium WCE2008 genome assembly, contig: Ga0070252_13